rnacentral:rRNA from 1 species
ACUGCGAAGGGGGGACGGAGAAGGCUAUGUCAGCCGGGCGACGGUUGUCCCGGUUUAAGCAUGUAGGCGGAGGUUCCAGGUAAAUCCGGUACCUUAUUAACGCUGAGGUGUGAUGACGAGGCACUACGGUGCUGAAGUGAUAAAUGCCCUGCUUCCAGGAAAAGCCUCUAAGCAUCAGGUAACACGAAAUCGUACCCCAAACCGACACAGGUGGUCAGGUAGAGAAUACCAAGGCGCUUGAGAGAACUCGGGUGAAGGAACUAGGCAAAAUGGUGCCGUAACUUCGGGAGAAGGCACGCUGAUGUGUAGGUGAAGCCCCUGCGGGCGGAGCUGAAAUCAGUCGAAGAUACCAGCUGGCUGCAACUGUUUAUUAAAAACACAGCACUGUGCAAACACGAAAGUGGACGUAUACGGUGUGACG